rnacentral:sRNA from 1 species
GCAGGUUCGUGUCGAACGCAGUGAGACAACGGAGCCGCCUGCGGCGACGGCCCGAAGGGCGAGGCGAAGCCGAGUCAUCCUGUACGACCCAUCA